UGGGGAAUUUUGGACAAUGGGCGCAAGCCUGAUCCAGCAAUGCCGCGUGCAGGAUGAAGGCCUUCGGGUUGUAAACUGCUUUUGUACGGAGCGAAAAGGUCUGCCCUAAUACGGUGGGCUCAUGACGGUACCGUAAGAAUAAGCACCGGCUAACUACGUGCCAGCAGCCGCGGUAAUACGUAGGGUGCGAGCGUUAAUCGGAAUUACUGGGCGUAAAGCGUGCGCAGGCGGUUAUGUAAGACAGAGGUGAAAUCCCCGGGCUCAACCUGGGAACUGCCUUUGUGACUGAAUGGCUAGAGUGCGGCAGAGGGGGAUGGAAUUCCGCGUGUAGCAGGGAAAUGCGUAGAUAUGCGGAGGAACACCGAUGGCGAAGGCAAUCCCCUGGGCCUGCACUGACACUGAGGCACGAAAGCGUGGGGAGCAAACA
rnacentral:rRNA from 1 species